GGGCAUAUGGUGUAGGGGUUAUCACGUUCGCUUUGCAUGCGAAAGGUCUCCGGUUCAAAUCCGGAUUUGUCCA